rfam:Candidatus Kaiserbacteria bacterium RIFCSPHIGHO2_01_FTLL_56_24 rifcsphigho2_01_scaffold_19827, whole genome shotgun sequence.
GGCCACGUGGCGAAGGGGUAACGCGGAAGUCUGCAAAACUUUUAUGCGCGGGUUCGAGUCCCGCCGUGGCCU